ACCAUUUCCUACUUUUUUUUCUAUACUUCCACACGAUAGUACACAAAUAAAACAAAAAAUGAAUGAAUUCAGAAAAAAUGGUUGAACGAGAAUUGAUUACAAAUAGAUUUCAUUAACCAUUUUAUUUUGUUUUACUUCACUUUUUAUUUACUUUAAUUUUAUUUUAUUUUUCAUUCCUAUUCAUCCUUUUUAUUCCUAUUAUCUGUUGCUUUUCAUUUCCUCCUUUGCUUUCUCUCUUGUCCCGCUACAACAAUCCCUAAAUAACCUUAAAGCUUUUACUGCUCCCACUCUGCCCAUCUGUCUCUCUCGUUCUACCUUCUUCCACCAUAUACCGCACUUUGCUCCCUUUCAAUAAACCUCUUUCACUCUCACUGAUCCAUAGUACUCUUUUUCUCUUCUUUCACCUUGUUUUACUCUCCUUGACUUUCCUUGCAUUUCUUUGGCUUUCCUUGCACUUCUCUCCUUCUCUCUAUAUCACAUACCGAAACAAAUUCUUUCACCCCUUUCCUCGUUAUUCAGAAAAUUUCCAUCUCUUUCCAUAUUUGACCCAUUUGACUAGCUAAGCAUUCUUGCUGUGUCUAAUUUUACUUUUUGCUCUUUUCGUUUCCCCUUUUUCCUCCUUCGUAAUCCUUCUUUUUCGUACUGCACUCCCUUGCCUUAUACAUGUACCGAUGCCAUACUCCCAUCUCAUCCCAUCCGAUAAGCGGCAGUCGCGACCAGCUCAUGCUGGUGAUGGUAACGAGAUUUGUCCAACAAUUCAUUAAACAUCAUACUGUGGAACAAGACCGUACAGCAGAGUGCAGUAAAGGAUUUGCUAAAGGAGAGAAGAACCCGACCGUUUCAGUAGAGUAGAGUAGAGAGGAAAGAGGAAAGGAUGAUACAUCAUUACUUUGAAUACGAUACAACACAAUUCUUUCAGUACAAUGUAAUUCACUUCUAUGCAAUGCAGUCCACUUCUAUGCAAUUCAGUCCAGCGCAAUGCAAUUCCAUACAUUUCAUUUCAAUUCAUAAUUUCAUAUACUAGCAUACGAUGAGAUGUCCAAUUUAUUAAAUACGUUUUCUCUUUCUCCCUCCCUUUUCACGAAAAGGCAAGAAAAGCCUUCUUGUUCAUCAUACGGUAUGCUUGCAAUUUUUAAGUGGGUGUAAAUAAACAGACACACAACGCAUAAUGAGAUGAUGAAGAAUUUCAAUACAAACUGAUUUGUACAAAAAAAAUUAAAUUAUAAAAAGAAAAUCUAUUCAAUUCAAUUCAAUUCGUGAAAAAAUAAAAAAAAUAAAAAAUUCGAAAUAAAAUUACAUUAAAUUAAUUAACG